UACAGAGGUGGCAAGCGUUGUUCGGAAUUACUGGGCGUAAAGGGCGCGUAGGCGGCCUUCUAAGUCAGACGUGAAAUCCCCCGGCUUAACCUGGGAACUGCGUCUGAUACUGGGAGGCUUGAGUAUGGGAGAGGGAUGUAGAAUUCCAGGUGUAGCGGUGAAAUGCGUAGAUAUCUGGAGGAAUACCGGUGGCGAAGGCGGCAUCCUGGACCAUAACUGACGCUGAUGCGCGAAAGCUAGGGGAGCAAACGGG
rnacentral:rRNA from 1 species